AAUCAACGCUGGCGGCGUGCCUCAGACAUGCAAGUCGAACGAUUAAAGCUCUCUUCGGAGAGUGUAUAGAGUGGCGCACGGGUGAGUAACACGUAAGUAAUCUACCCUCGAGUGGGGAAUAACGUCCGGAAACGGACGCUAAUACCGCAUAAUGCAGCGGCACCGCAAGGUGACAGUUGUUAAAGGAGAAAUUCGCUUGAGGAGGAGCUUGCGGCAGAUUAGCUUGUUGGUAAGGUAACGGCUUACCAAGGCUACGAUCUGUAACCGGUCUUAGAGGACGGUCGGUCACACUGACACUGAAUAACGGGUCAGACUCCUACGGGAGGCAGCAGUCGGGAAUUUUGGGCAAAUGGGCGAAAGCCUGACCCAGCAACGCCGCCGUGAAGGAUGAAGUAUUUCGGUAUGUAAACUUCGAAAGAAUAGGAAGAAUAAAUGACGUACU
rnacentral:rRNA from 1 species